AAAACAUCGCCUCUUGCCCCACCAUAAGAGGUCCAGCCUGCCCAGUGACCCUGUUCAACGGCCGCGGUAUCCUGACCGUGCGAAGGUAGCGUAAUCACUUGUCUUUUAAAUAGAGACUAGUAUGAAUGGCAUCACGAGGGUUUCACUGUCUCCUUUUCCCAAUCAAUGAAACUAAUCUUCCCGUGAAGAAGCGGGAAUCUAAAUAUAAGACGAGAAGACCCUAUGGAGCUUAAGACAAAAUAAUAUUUGCUGACCCCCCCCCGCCCAAUCGGGCCACUAACUACUAUUUUAGCACAUUAAUUAUUAGUCUUUGGUUGGGGCGACUACGGAGCAAAAUUUAACCUCCAUGUUGAACGGCACUAGCCUUAACAAAAAGAUACAACUUUACGUAUCAACAGAUUGACAUCAAUUGAUCCAAUAUUUUGAUCAACGGACCAAGUUACCCUAGGGAUAACAGCGCAAUCCACUUCGAGAGUUCAUAUCGAAAAGUGGGCUUACGACCUCGAUGUUGGAUCAGGGUCUCCCAGUGGUGCAGCCGCUACUAAAGGUUCGUUUGUUCAACGAUCAAAACCCUA
rnacentral:rRNA from 1 species